CUACAAGAAAAACAAUUGUACAAAGAAAAAAGACAGGAGGAGAGAAAAAUAGAGUUACAACUGAUAAGGGAAAUGAAGAAACCAGUAGAUGACAUGGUGUUGAAAGACAGUGCACAUCUACCUAAACUGAAGAGAAUUCCUGGAGUAAAAGUGGCCGGAAAAGCAUUUGCCAACAUUCUCAUGUUGGUUGAAUUCCUACACAACUUUGGUGAUACACUUGGUUUUG